rnacentral:tRNA from 1 species
GGGGAUGUAGCUCAGUUGGGAGAGCGCCAGCUUUGCAAGCUGGAUGUCGUGGGUUCGAGUCCCAUCAUCUCCACCA